CUUGCUUUCUUUGUUGGCGACCGGCGCACGGGUGAGUAACACGUAUCCAACCUGCCCUUUACUCGGGGAUAGCCUUUCGAAAGAAAGAUUAAUACCCGAUAGCAUAAUGAUUCCGCAUGGUUUCAUUAUUAAAGGAUUCCGGUAAAGGAUGGGGAUGCGUUCCAUUAGGUUGUUGGUGGGGUAACGGCCCACCAAGCCUUCGAUGGAUAGGGGUUCUGAGAGGAAGGUCCCCCACAUUGGAACUGAGACACGGUCCAA
rnacentral:rRNA from 1 species